GCGGACGAGGAACCCGUUGAUCCCAAGAAGUAUCUUGAGGAGCGGUGCAAGCCACAGUGUGUAAAACCACUGUAUGAGUAUGAGAAAUGUAUCAAGAGAGUCGAGGCCGAUGAUACUGGGCACAAGCACUGCACUGGGCAAUAUUUUGACUACUGGUCAUGCAUCGAUAAAUGUGUAGCACCAAAGCUCUUUGAAAAGCUGAAAUGA
rnacentral:rRNA from 1 species